GACGAACGCUGGCGGCGUGCUUAACACAUGCAAGUCGAACGAUGAACCCGGAGCUUGCUCCGGUGGAUUAGUGGCGAACGGGUGAGUAACACGUGAGUAACCUGCCCUUGACUCUGGGAUAACUGCGGGAAACUGUAGCUAAUACCGGAUACGACCCUCGGCGGCAUCGCCAGGGGGUGGAAAGAAUUUCGGUCAAGGAUGGACUCGCGGCCUAUCAGCUAGUUGGGGGGGUAACGGCUCAACAAGGCGACGACGGGUAGCCGGCCUGAGAGGGUGACCGGCCACACUGGGACUGAGACACGGCCCAGACCCCUACGGGAGGCAGCAGUGGGGAAUAUUGCACAAUGGGCGCAAGCCUGAUGCAGCAACGCCGCGUGAGGGAUGACGGCCUUCGGGUUGUAAACCUCUUUUAGUAGGGAAGAAGCGAAAGUGACGGUACCUGCAGAAAAAGCACCGGCUAACUACGUGCCAGCCGCCGCAGUAA
rnacentral:rRNA from 1 species